rnacentral:tRNA from 1 species
UCCCUGGUGGCUCAGGCGGUAAAGCGUCUGCCUGCAAUGCGGGAGACCUGGGUUUGAUUCCUGGGUCGGGAA